rnacentral:rRNA from 1 species
CCUACGGGAGGCAGCAGUGGGGGAUAUUGCACAAUGGGGGAAACCCUGAUGCAGCGACGCCGCGUGAGCGAAGAAGUAUUUCGGUAUGUAAAGCUCUAUCAGCAGGGAAGAAAAUGACGGUACCUGACUAAGAAGCUCCGGCUAAAUACGUGCCAGCAGCCGCGGUAAUACGUAUGGAGCAAGCGUUAUACGGAUUUACUGGGUGUAAAGGGAGCGUAGGCGGUAAGGCAAGUCUGAUGUGAAAGGCAAGGGCUCAACCCUGGAACUGCAUUGGAAACUGUUUAACUGGAGUGUCGGAGAGGCAAGUGGAAUGCCUGGUGUAGCGGUGAAAUGCGUAGAUAUUAGGAGGAACACCAGUGGCGAAGGCGGCUUGCUGGACGAUGACUGACGCUGAGGCUCGAAAGCGUGGGGAGCAAACAGGAUUAGAUACCCCUGUAGUC